rnacentral:rRNA from 1 species
GUAGGUGGCAAGCGUUGUCCGGAAUUAUUGGGCGUAAAGCGCGCGCAGGCGGGUCCUUUAAGUCUGAUGUGAAAGCCCACGGGCUCAACCGUGGAGGGUCAUUGGAAACUGGGGGACUUGAGUACAGAAGAGGAAAGCGGAAUUCCUAAGUGUAGCGGUGAAAUGCGUAGAGAUUUGGAGGAACACCAGUGGCGAAGGCGGCUUUCUGGUCUGUAACUGACGCUGAGGCGCGAAAGCGUGGGGAGCAAACAGGAUUAGAUACCCUGGUAGUCCACGCCGUAAACGAUGAGUGCUAAGUCGUUAGGGGGUUUCCGCCCCUUUAGUGCUGCAGCUAACGCAUUAAGCACUCCGCCUGGGGAGUACGGCCGCAAAGGCUGG